rnacentral:rRNA from 1 species
GACGAACGCUGGCGGCGUGCUUAACACAUGCAAGUCGAACGGAAAGGCCCUGCUUUUGUGGGGUGCUCGAGUGGCGAACGGGUGAGUAACACGUGAGUAACCUGCCCUUGACUUUGGGAUAACUUCAGGAAACUGGGGCUAAUACCGGAUCGUAGCUCCUGCUGCAUGGUGGGGGUUGGAUAGUUUCGGCGGUUGGGGAUGGACUCGCGGGUUAUCAGCGUGUUGGUGGGGUAGUGGCUUACAAAGGCUUUGACGGGUAGCCGGCCUGAGAGGGUGACCGGCCACAAUGGGACUGAGAUACGGCCCAGACGCCUACGGGAGGCAGCAGUGGGGAAUAUUGCACAAUGGGCGGAAGCCUGAUGCAGCAACGCCGCGUGCGGGAUGACGGCCUUCGGGUUGUAAACCGCUUUCGCCUGUGACGAAGCGUGAGUGACGGUAAUGGGUAAAGAAGCACCGGCUAACUACGUG